rnacentral:rRNA from 1 species
CGGUUUCCCCGGGCCUUGUACACACCGCCCGUCACACCACGAAAGUCGGCAACACCCGAAGCCAGUGGCCCAACCCCUUUGGGGAGGGAGCUGUCGAAGGUGGGGUCGGCGAUUGGGUG